UACGAAGGGGGCUAGCGUUGUUCGGAAUUACUGGGCGUAAAGCGAGCGUAGGUUGCUCGACAAGUCAGUGGUGAAAGCCCAAGGCUCAACCUUGGAACUGCCAUUGAAACUGUCGAGCUGGAAUCUUAGAGGGGGUAGCGGAAUUCCAAAUGUAGGGGUGAAAUCCGUAGAUAUUUGGAGGAACACCGGUGGCGAAGGCGGCUACCUGGCUAAGUAUUGACACUGAGGCUCGAAAGCGUGGGGAUCAAACAGGAUUAGAUACCCUGGUAGUCCACGCUGUAAACGAUGGAUGCUAGUUGUUGGGGGGUUCCCCCUCAGUGACGUAGCUAACGCGUUAAGCAUCCCGCCUGGGGAGUACGGUCGCAAGAUUA
rnacentral:rRNA from 1 species